rnacentral:lncRNA from 1 species
GGAGAUGUGAUGAAGUUGAAGUAAGAUUUCUGUUUCCAGCUAGCAAACCCACCCCAAACUUAGUAGCAUACAACAACAUUUUUAUAGUAUUCAAAGGAGCUGUGGAUCAAGAAAUCAGAUAGAAUACAGUGUAGACAGCUCAGCCCUGAUCUUUGCUGUCUGGAACCCACCUGAGGUGGGCUUAUAUGAUGAGUAACCAUCCAUUUCUAAGAUGGUUACUUGAGCUAAAGAACACCUUUACCUGAGACACUCAACCAGGGCACCUGCCUGUGUCUCUCCACACAUCAGCCUCUCACACUGAGAGCUUCAAUAUUGUUGCUAUCAAAGCAAAAAGCCUCCAUAGCCUUUGAUAUGAUAACCUUAGAAGUUAUGUGACAUUAUUUACACUCCACUCAUUGGUUGAAAGUCUAACUUAUUAAUAAAAAGUGUUAUAUUUGGGCAUAUUUAGACAGUAGAUAGAUGAUAGAUAAGAGGUGGCAGAUAGAUAGAUAGAUAGAUAGAUAGAUAGACAGACAGACAGACAGACAGAUAGAUUACAUGAGCUUAUUCUCCCCAUGCCAUCAUCCCCUCCUCUGCUCAGCACUCCUGCCUCCCCUUAGUCCUUUUUGUUUCCCUGGACAGUUAGAUUCUACUUUCAUAUUAAAUAUACAUAAACAUGAUUUGUGUAUCUGUAUAAAAUCUAGGAACCACAAAUUCUGAAAAUUAUAUCUGAAGAGACAGCACUUAUUUGAAUGCUGAUCUAGAGAGGGGCAACCUUGUCAGCCAGGGGAGCCAGAGUCUAGGUAGAACCUCAGGGAGUUCUCCCCACAUACACUUACACACACACUUACACAUAACAUAGUCACACACACAUAGUCACACACAGUUACACACACACAGUCACAAACACACUCAUUCACACACAUAUACACUCAUUCACAUACACACACUCAUACAGUCACACAGUCUCACACCUACAGUCACACACACACACUCACACACAUACUCACAUGCACACAGUCACACACAUUCACACACUCACACACUCACUGUCACAGAAGUAUAAAGGUGUUGGUAAAGUUCUACAAUGAACACAAUUUUCCAGUUUUUGUUUCUUGCUUUCCACUGCUUUGCCUAGCCUGCUGUAACUAAAUUUGGGGUGUGGUCCCAUGAGGUCAACAUGAAGGACUUCAAUGAUAAAAGUGGAGGAGAUUACAUGUGAGUCGCACAACAAGAAUGAAGAGCCUCCUGCCUAAACAUGUGAGUCGCAGGAAGUCAUUCCCUUCUACCCACAGUGCUUCACGAGCUGAGUUCCUCGUCUCCACCUUAGAGCAAAGGCUGAGGGACCAAGACCAGAUUGUGCACAUAUAAAGAAGAACAAAGCCAACAUGGGAAGUACUUCUUCCAACAGAGCCUGUGCGUCAGAGUAGAGACUGGAAUUCUUGGCAUUCUUGCCCACGUGAUGAUAGCUCCUGUCUCAUGAAACCAACUCACAAAGUCCCACUUCACCUCCAGCUAGGUCUGAAGCAAGCUACCUUUUCUGGUAUCGGAGAGACAUAUGUGGAAACAACCACCUGCCUGUUGCUGCAAAUCUUUGAUUUUCUUAUCAAUAGUCCCCAGCUGUCUCCCCAAAUCUGAAUGUGUUGACAACCGAGCCAUGAGAGUGCAGCCAUGUUGGGUUACUGCAUUGUAAGCAAGCUUUCUCAGCAGCUAUGACAGUCAUUCUAAUGUCUUGACCUAAAGUGUUCUACACAAAUCUACCCAGAGCCCUUUAUUCAGCUUUUCUGGUGGAUCUGAAGGCUUCCGUGUUCUACCACGUGAAUGAUGCGGUGACAAUGUCUCAGAAAGACAUCGAGCUAACGCUUUACAUAACAGCUCCAGUUUCAACUGUCAGCACAUGAUAUGUGAAAUGAAAAUCCCUAUGUAGUCAUUAAUACAUAAUGUCCCAGUCACUGCCUCAAAAAUCAUUUUUUUAUUGCCUCACCAAGGGAAAAAAAAAACCAAAACAACCAAUCCCAUGACUCCCCCAGGCCCUGUGCUGUGAAUCUAUCAUCGCCUCUUGGCCAUCUCUUGGGCUCAUCUCCCUGACAUGACAGAGUGUAAUAGCUUCAAAGAAAAGCAACGGUGUUGGUUUUUCAAACACCAUUUCCUGAGUUUGAACAAAUGUGUUUCAUCACAGCUCUGUCUGGCAGUGGGAUGCUUGGUGGCUGAUGGAUGGUCCCAGCCAUGGAGACCUGGGUAACGAUCCUGGAAACUACCUCCCUAUAUACCACAGACAUCUGUGUCAGAGGUGGCACAGCACUGGGGCUCACAGAAUGGGAGGAAUGCAUGUUCCAUGUGCUUUCAUGAGUGGUUCGGGUCCUACCCUCCUCCAAAUCCUAGCUCCAUUAAGCCCAAAGCUGCUGCUAUUGUAUGACCCCCCUGGAGGUCUCAAAUGUGUUGUCACAUAUUUAAAUAAGGCUUUCUCCAUCAUAGAAGUUAUUGGGGGUAAAAGCACCAUCUCUAGUCCCACAUCUACAGCUCACCAGCAACGAGGCCCUGAGGAAGAACUGUGAGAGCCGAAGUUUUUGGUUUGAAGAGUAUGGCGAAGUUCCUCAAGUGGAUCAAAUAAUACAGGAAAAGUUUUUCUGAGAUAAUAAAUAUCAUUCAAAUGUACACAACACCAUAGUUUAUUUAAAGCACAUUAUCUUUCGUGGCAGCUUUUUCAUUUUCAUUUAUUUGCCUGCCGUUUUCCUGGUAUGACCCCAGACACUUAUUGGUGUUGCCCUCCCAAACCCUCCCAAACAAGAUGUUCUUAUUUCAAAUUGAGUGAGACUUACCCUGUUCCCUUUACCCUCACUCCCUUCCAAACUUACAGCAUUUGAAAAGAGGCACUGUGGUAUCCUGUUUGGGUGAAAUAUUUGUCCAGAAAGUAUAAGUUGCUACUUUACAUUAUAUUAAAAAUGUUAUGAUAUUAGAUGUAAGUGGAAAUUUUAUGGAACCUUUACUGAGCAAAGUCUCAGUUACUUCCUCUUAUGCUCCUUCAAGAGCUACUUAUGGGGACUGGAGAGAUGGCUCAGAGGUUAAGAGCACUGACUGUUCUUCCAGAGGUCCUGAGUUCAAUUCCUAGCAACCACAUGGAGGCUCACAACCAUCCCUUAUGAGAUCUGGUGCCCUCUUCUGGUAUGCAGAUAUAACUGGAAGCAGAAUGUUGUAUACAUAAUAAAUAAAUAAUUUAAAAAAAAAUGAGCUACUUAUGUCAGUGGAUCUCCAGCAGGGGCAGGUCUGUCCCUCUGGGAUGUUAGCAAAGUUUGUAGAUACUGCUAGAGUCUUGGAAGGAGAAGUUGCUAUUGGCAUAUAUUGGGGAGAGGUCAAAGAUGCUAUUAAACAUCUUACAAGGCACAGAACAGCCAAGAAUAUUUAGGCCAGAAGUCAAGGUGCCAAGGCCGAGAAAUACUGACUGCACAACUUCCACAUAGUAUCCAAGAAGUCUGUGGCAUUGCCGUACAUGUCUGCAUGGGAAGAUGGUGCCACCCCUUUCCAAUUCACUUAAACUUCAUACCUGGGUAUUCAAUACCUUGUGGAAGGUUAAUGGACUUUAGUAAUGGCUCCAUAUUCUAGAGGCUCAGGUCCAGUAGGCGAGAGACAUAAGUGUGGACUAACCUCGUGUUGCAGUAUAAAUCAAUGAGGUCAAGAGGGAAAAGUGCUCUCAAGACAAGAGGCCUGGGAAAGAUGAGCUCCAGUGGUCAGGAAGACAGGCAGGAGCUCAGUCUGAAGAAGGAAGUAGUGUGGUGACACAUGAAACUUCGGACAAUGUGCCACGGUGUGCAGAAAACUGGGGAAAGACAGCAGUGAAGCAGAGACACUGUCCAGUAGGGGAGAGCCUUGGGCUGUCCUGGGUGCUCAGCCACGGCUGGGUGAUGCAUUCGGAUGGAGGCUGAGGCUAGCCUUCUUCCUUUUACUGCAUCUACUUUUUAUAAAUGAUGGGUCACAUAUUUCUAUUUAAAUGUAUUUGCUCUGUCUGAAAACACUAACAUUCAAUGGCAAAUCUUACCAAUUUUAUUCUGUACUUAAUAGAAAAGAGAGUUUCUGUCUAAAAUUUAAUUAGAAAAGUCUUUCCAAUACCAGAGCUCUGGUCCUGGUCCUGGUUCAGUCAUUAGUAAUUUUGUUGUUUCAUUUUUUUAAUUUUUUAAAGGUUUCUUUAUUUUAGCCAGGCAGUGGUGGUGCACACCUUUAAUCCCAGCACUUGGGAGGCAGAGGCAGGUGAGUUCAAGGUUAGCCUGGGCUAUACAGAGAAACCCUUUCUCAGAAAACAAAAACAAAAACAAUUCUUUAGGAGGAAGAGGAAAGAGAGAGACUCUGUGUGUGUGUGUGUGUGUGUGUGUGUGUGUGUGUGUGUGUGUGUGUGUGUGUGUUCAUGCACACUCGUGUGCAUGCUUGCACAUGUCAUGUGUAUGUGCCAUGCAUAUGUAGAGGUCAGAGGACAACUUUCUGGGUCACUUCUCUCCUUCUGCUAUGGGUUGGGAUUUCAAACUUGAGUUGUCAGUCUUGGUGGCAUCCACUGUGCUAUCUUGAUAACUCCCAAUAAUAAUUUUGUGAGCAAAAUUUAUUUUUCUAAAAACUAAUUUUGGUGCAUAUAUUUAGAAGUAUCUCAAAUUCAUAGAGUCUAGAGAUGGAAGAGACCUCAAGAAACCUCAAUUUCAGCUAGCCUAAUCUUUCCAGAUAGGCUUUGACAUCAUCAUGCACAGGGGAAACAAGUUAAUUUCUGCACAUUUGAGACAGGCAUAAGCUACAGCAAAUGGCAGAAUUUGUUUUUAAUAUCAUACAUUUGCUGAGGGGUAGAGGUUUCUACUAUUGUCCGAGAGUUGUGUCCAGAUUUGAUUGCUCAAAUAUUAAGGGGAUAGUCUUGGGGUGUGUUCAUUAUUUAACCCUAAAAACCAUUAGGCACAGUUGAGGGAUCCAAGCUGGCAAGACCAGAUAUGCAAAAGUGACCUGAAGUCAGAAUCUCAGAUUCACUGGCAGUGACCACUGUUUGGGGACUUCCGUGACAACUCAAACUUUGCACAGAGCAGACCCUUCCCCCUUCUCUUGGGCUGGAGCAUGUAAUGAAUCUCCUUGGGGAUCUUGGCUGACAUUAACCCCUAAAAAGCCCCCCUCCUAGAUUGGCCCAUAUCUGGGCUCCCUGGCGACCUCCUUUUUCUCCCCCAAUUCAGAAUCUCUGCCUUGAUUACAGCUGGAACAUUCUUCUUGACAAAAAUGAACUCUUUAGUGUUCACACACUUACGUGUAUAGCAUUUGGCCCAUUCUAUAUCAAGAACAUGCAGAACACAGCCUGGUUUUCUUCCUUGGGAUCACCCUGAUUUAUAAUAGCAAGUGAGCAUGGACCUGUCUCCGUACACUUCCACCUGGUGUGUGGCUUGGGCUUCCUUUCACUGGGUUGAGAGAUGGAGGAAGCAAAAUGUGGAACUCCCAAGGCCUUGGCUGCCCCAUUUCCUAAAGCAAGCUCCAUCCCUGGCAUCACAAGUGACUCUGGCACCCUUUUCCUGAAACAAAUGAACAGAAAAGACAGCUGCACAAAAGCUAGCUCCUUUUUGUGGGUUAACAUAAAUGCUUUACGAGAUCCUUUUACAGCUGCCAGCAAUCAUUUGCUCAUAUUGUGCUCAGGCUAGGGAUGGUCCCUUUCUGCUCAGAAGAAAGUCAACGUCCUAUAAAACAAGCUUCAGUAGAAUUGUUGGCAAGAAGAAACAAGCCUGAGCAUGGCUUCUGGUGAUUGGUCAUGACACCCUUGGAGAUAGCACUGCAGAGGGACACAGCAGUGGCUGGCACAGUCCUCCUUCCACUGCAAAGCCCAGGCCUCCCUGAAGAUGCUUGGGCCCCUGGAUUUGCUAAAACAAGGAGACUUUGUUCCUUCUUCUAAAUAAGCUGCCAUUAUAUCCCCCAAACUUCUAGCCCAUUAUGUAUACCCAAACUUCCUAACCCAUUGUAUAUCCCCAAACUUACUAACUCAUUAUGUAUCCCCAAACUUACUAACUCAUUAUAUACCCCCAAACUUACUAACCCAUUGUAUACCCCCAAACUUACUAGCCAACAGGUAUCACAUUAGACUGUCCAUCACUGUCCACUGCAAGGCAUGAGUUUUUCACUGUGGGGAUUCCAUGGCCGACUGGGAACUGGGAUUCUUGGUGUCU